GAUGAACGCUAGCUACAGGCUUAACACAUGCAAGUCGAGGGACCGGCGCACGGGUGAGUAACACGUAUCCAACCUGCACUUGACUAGGAGAAAGCCUAACGAAAGCAAGAAUCAUACACGCUAUAAAGCAUGGGGAGGAUUUCCAAUAGGUUGUUGGUGAGGUAACGGCCCACCAAGACUUCGAUGGAUGGGGGUUCGGAGAGUAAGGUCCCCCACAUUGGAACUGAGGCACGGUCCAAACUCCUACGGGAGGCUGCAGUGUGGAAUAUUUGUCAAUGGGCGUUAGCCUGAACCAGCCAAGUAUCGUGAAGGAUGAAGGCUUAUUGGUCUUAAUUUUCUUUUAUAUAAGAAGAUUUAUUAUAUGAAUAAGGACCGGCUAACUCCGUGCCAGCAGCCGCGGUAAUAC
rnacentral:rRNA from 1 species